rnacentral:rRNA from 1 species
CCUACGGGGGGCAGCAGUGGGGAAUAUUGGGCAAUGGGCGCAAGCCUGACCCAGCAACGCCGCGUGAAGGAAGAAGGCUCUCGGGUUGUAAACUUCUUUUGUCAGGGACGAAGCUAGUGACGGUACCUGACGAAUAAGCCACGGCUAACUACGUGCCAGCAGCCGCGGCAAUACGUAGGUGGCAAGCGUUAUCCGGAUUUACUGGGUGUAAAGGGUGCGUAGGUUGUUUUUUAAGUUCGCGGUGAAAUACCGAUGCUCAACAUCGGGGCUGCCGCUAAUACUGUAGGACUAGAGAUCGGAUGCGGCAGGCGGAAUGUGUGGUGUAGCGGUGAAAUGCAUAGAUAUUACACAGAACACCGAUUGCGAAGGCAGCUUGCUAGGCCGGAUCUGACACUGAUGCACGAAAGCGUGGGUAUCAAACAGGAUUAGAUACCCGUGUAGUC